rnacentral:lncRNA from 12 species
CUAAUUUCAGUUCUCUGUUCUCCACUAUUAAGGCGGAGGCACUGCAUCACCUCUCCAUACCUUCAUGAGCAGCAACAAUUAACACUCAAAAGCAUUUAGAUACCUGAAACCUCCUGACAUGUCCCCGGGAAGAAGCAGCCAUGGUGCCCUGGGAGCAGGAUUUGGCUAGGGAGCCCUGAACACAGCCCCACAGCCCUGUGUGGGCCUGAGUGGAAGGAAAUACUGAAAAAGCAGCUAUUUGUUGAGCAAGGUCUGUGGAAAAUUAUUUCAACCCAAAUAAUUCGUAUUUAUAAAGGCUGAGAACGGUAUCUCAUAGGUCUUGAGCAGUUAACCUUGCAGCCUUAAUAUUUCUUUAACAGGUGCCUACUUUGCUAUUUCGCGAAGUUUCCUCAGUUAUCAUAGUGUUGGGGGUUGGGGUUUUUUCGUCUCUGGGGAAUUUUUUUCCCAUUACUAUGCUAAGAAAGCUUGUCAGGCUGCCCGCUAGCUCCCGAUGGCUCCAGACAAAGGGAUGGGCGGGCUCUGGCUCUCUCUCGCUCGCCAGCGGGGUCGGAGGAAAAGGCCCGGGGGCUGCUCGCUUCCACCCCGCGCCAUCCCAACGCCGGGAGCCAGGUUCCCUGCUGUGGGACACUGCACUGCUGCCUGCCCCGCUCCAGCCUGACACCUCCGAGCACGCAGCCGGGCGCUGCGGCCCACACGGUGAGCGGGGAGCCCUUCCUCCGCCCUUCUCCCAGCCGGGACGCUGCGCUGCCGCCUCCCCCCGCUGCCGCCGCCGCCUCCGCAGCUGCGCGGGCCCUGUGCCGUCCCCACCGCCCGGACCGAGCGCAGGAAGAGUGUCUGCGGCCGAAAAGGGACUGCGACUGAGCUGUUCUUCUGUUUGGUGGCUUGUCUCUUUCCUGAUCCCCUCAGCAGUGUGCAUGGUAAAGUCAUUUUGUGUGUGGCUGCUGCUUGUACCAAUAAAACCAGCUUUUAACUGGAGUCACCCAGCCCCACAUUCUGAAGAGGCAGCAAGGGAAGCAGCCAGAGGAAAUGUUUGGCUGCGGGUGCUCGCAUCUCCCAACUGCUGCCUUCCUCAGGCCUCUCCAGCAGAAAUGAUUGUGGGAAAGCGUUUGUUUCAUGAAGCCCUCCUGGAAAAAAAAAUGGAUGAUUUCUCACUCAGGUUGAAAGGGAUGUGUUUAUCAUGAAGUAGCUCUGCAGUGGCCAUUCCCUUACUGUUCAGACCAACCAAACCUCCAGGAGAGCUCCCUUCUUGGUGUUUUUUUUUCUUUUUUUAUAAUUUUCUGUGUAUAAAUAAAGUUUUAGUUUGAGCUGAGAUGUCUGAAGAGCAAAGCUAGCAAGUCUGUGUCUGAAAUAGGGCAAGAACACUGCUAUGAAUAUAUAAGAGCUUUUAGCUGGUUAGAUUUUUCUUGUUGCUGGUUGUGGGGGAUUUUUUUAAUUGUCGGACACAUUAACUUUUUAUAUCUUUUAUAAAAGUGCACUAAAAUUAAAAUUGCAAUAAAAAGAAAUGCAAGUAUGUUACCUUCCUAAUAUUGGAUUUAUUCUGCAGCAACAUACACACUUAGCA